UGAAUACGAGACGCUAAGGCGUCGAAGUAGUGUAUGUCAUACUUCCAAGAAAAGCUUGCACUGUCAUAGAUAAAAAACGCCUGUACCAUAACCGACACAGGUGGGUAGGUAGAGUAUACUAAGGGGCGCGAGAUAACUCUCUCUAAGGAACUCGGCAAAAUAACUCCGUAACUUCGGGAGAAGGAGUGCCUUAUUAUUAAGGCUGCAAUAACAAGAUCCAAGCAACUGUUUAUCAAAAACACAGGUCUCCGCUAAGUCGUAAGACGAUGUAUGGGGGCUGACGCCUGCCCAGUGCCAGAAGGUUAAAGAAGUUGGUUAGCAUUUGCGAAGCUGAUAACUGAAGCCCUGGUGAACGGCGGCCGUAACUAUAACGGUCCUAAGGUAGCGAAAUUCCUUGUCGGGUAAGUUCCGACCCGCACGAAAGGCGUAAUGAUUUGGAUACUGUCUCGGAGAGGGGCUCGGUGAAAUAGACUUGUCUGUGAAGAUGCGGACUACCUGCACCAGGACAGAAAGACCCUAUGAAGCUUUACUGUAACUUGAAAUUGAAAUUGGACUUUAUUCGCGCAGCAUAGGUGGGAGGCGUUGAUUAUAAUCUUGUGGGAUUAUUGGAGCCAUCAGUGAGAUACCACUCUUGUAAUGUUAGAUUUCUAACUUUGAAUCAUUAUCUGGUCAAAGAACAGUUUCAGGCGGGCAGUUUGACUGGGGCGGUCGCCUCCUAAACGGUAACGGAGGCGUACAAAGGUUUCCUCUGAACGGUUAGAAAUCGUAUCUAGAGUGUAAAGGCAUAAGGAAGCUUGACUGUGAGACCUACAAGUCGAGCAGGGACGAAAGUCGGUCCUAGUGAUCUGACGGUACUGAGUGGAAAGGCCGUCACUCAACGGAUAAAAGUUACUCUAGGAUAACAGGCUGAUCUCCCCCAAGAGUUCACAUCGACGGGGAGGUUUGGCACCUCGAUGUCGGCUCAUCGCAUCCUGGGGCGGUAGUACGUCCCAAGGGUUGGGCUGUUCGCCCAUGAAAGCGGUACGCGAGCUGGGUUCAGAACGUCGUGAGACAGUUCGGUCCAUAUCCGGUGUAGGCGUUAGAAUAUUGAGAGGAGCCUUCUUUAGUACGAGAGGACCGAGAAGGACAUACCUCUGGUGUACCAGUUAUCGUGCCAACGGUAAACGCUGGGUAGCUAUGUAUGGAGUGGAUAACCGCUGAAAGCAUCUAAGUGGGAAGCCCACCUCAAGAUAAGUAUUCUCA
rnacentral:rRNA from 1 species